AUUGAACGCUGGCGGCAGGCCUAACACAUGCAAGUCGAGCGGAAACGAAGGGAGCUUGCUCCCAGGCGUCGAGCGGCGGACGGGUGAGUAACACGUGAGAAUCUGCCCAUUAGUGGGGGACAACUCGGGGAAACUCGAGCUAAUACCGCAUAAUCCCUACGGGGGAAAGCAGGGGACCUUUUGGCCUUGCGUUGAUGGAUGAGCUCACGUGGGAUUAGGUUGUUGGUGAGGUAAAGGCUCACCAAGGCGACGAUCCGUAGCUGGUCUGAGAGGAUGAUCAGCCACACUGGGACUGAGACACGGCCCAGACUCCUACGGGAGGCAGCAGUGGGGAAUCUUGGACAAUGGGGGCAACCCUGAUCCAGCCAUGCCGCGUGUGUGAAGAAGGCCUUCGGGUUGUAAAGCACUUUCAGCAGGGAGGAAGGCUUUGGCCGAAUAGGUUGAAGUACUUGACGUUACCUGCAGAAGAAGCACCGGCUAAUUUCGUGCCAGCAGCCGCGGUAA
rnacentral:rRNA from 1 species